UUAGGGCUAAAGGAUGCGCCUCUUGAAGAUGAGGAAAUUGAAGUGGCUGAAGAUGAUGCUUCCUUGGUCAAGCAAAUUGGCCAGAGUUUCUGGUAUUCUAAAAUAGAGACAAGAAGGGAGGAACAAAUCUAAGCUGCUCAUGACGAAGCCAUGUUUGGUGCUUCAGCACUUCCCCCUCCUACUAGUACUGACAGUGAGCCUGAAAGGGAGAAUGAGAAAGAAGUUGAUAAAAAAGCUGUUGUUACAAGCCUCUUAAGUGAAACGGUAAGUGGUUUCACUGCAGACUUAUGUGGAUAAGCAUGAUGAGUCAUUUAAGUAAUCCUUGUAUUUGUGUGUGCAUUUGUUGUUGAAUAAUUUCUCACAUUAAGUUGUUAUUGCUGCUCUAUACUUGCUGUUGGUUGCUGCUGAUUUUUCCCCCUCAUUGCUUGCUUAUUGAAUGAUUGUUAAAUUCAAUGAGAAAGGAAAUGCUGCUGAGUUAUUGUUGUUUGUGUUGGAAUAGAUGAUGGUUGCUGAACUGAGAUUGGUUUUAUUGAUAAAUCUGUUGCUGAAAUCGUGUAGUUUGGCUUGAUUGAUUUUCUGUUGAAUUAAUGGAUAAAUUGCUGUGCCCCUGCUGCUUGCAAGUGUAAUGGUUAUUGACUUAAAUGAAUAGAAUGCUGCCUGAAUCCAUUACCUUUGUUCAUUUUACUAUUUUGAAUGCUGUAUGAUGGGCCAUUGAUUGCUGUUCUGCUGAGUGCUGCUCUGCUUCUUGCUGGUUGGAUUAGUUUUAAUUGUUUCCUCAUGUUUUCUUGCUGGAAUUAGCUUAUUUACUUCCUUCCUAUGAAUUCAUUAUGAUUUUUUGUG